rnacentral:rRNA from 1 species
GCCCUGAUGUGGGGGAUAACCAUUGGAAACGAUGGCUAAUACCGCAUGAUAGCUUCGGCUCAAAGAGGGGGACCUUCGGGCCUCUCGCGUCAGGAUAUGCCCAGGUGGGAUUAGCUAGUUGGUGAGGUAAGGGCUCACCAAGGCGACGAUCCCUAGCUGGUCUGAGAGGAUGAUCAGCCACACUGGAACUGAGACACGGUCCAGACUCCUACGGGAGGCAGCAGUGGGGAAUAUUGCACAAUGGGCGCAAGCCUGAUGCAGCCAUGCCGCGUGUGUGAAGAAGGCCUUCGGGUUGUAAAGCACUUUCAGUCGUGAGGAAGGUGGUAGUGUUAAUAGCACUAUCAUUUGACGUUAGCGACAGAAGAAGCACCGGCUAACUCCGUGCCA